CUGAUUUGUUACUUACAAAAACUAAUAUUUAUAACGACCGUUCAAAUAAAAACGUGGUCGAAGUUGGCUCUGACACCACAUAUCAAGAAAAGACAUAGAUAAAUAAUUCAGGGUAUUUGUUUGAAUCUCAAAUGAUUCAUGUUUAUAUUUACUAUUCCCCGUGUUGUGAUUGGUUCAUUUAAGUUUCGCACCACUUUUACGCUCAAAUUUUGACAUUUUCCAGAAAAUUCGAGUUCGCCAUUGUUGUGUUUCGUAGUGUAAUCUAAUGUUUUUGCGUUUUUAAUGAUUUCGUGCUUGUUAGUAAGAUUUUUUCCAGUGAAAAAAGUGUUGAACAAUGCCGAAGAAGUGCUAUAUUUGCAAUAUGUACCAAAUGAAACAAAAUCAACGAUCGUUCCAUAAAUUUCCGAAAAAUCUUCUAAUUAGAAGACAGUGGUUUAGAAGCUUAGGAAUUCCAUAUACAGAAACAAUAUCUAUAUAUACCUAUAUAUGCUCUGACCACUUUUGUAAUAAAAUGCAGGAUAAUAUUCUUAGGAUAAAGCAUAAGUUAACAAAAAAUAUUUUAUUUCAUAAUCAAUAAAUUUCUAUUUGAGUAA